GGAGAUUGUGCUAUGUUAAUCAAGCAAGGUAUACCGUAUAGAGUACUGGAGAAAGGAGACGAUCAGGAAUACAUAGUGGUGGAAAUAUGGGAGAGAGGGGAGGGAGUGGUUAUGAUUAACUACUACAAACCAUGUAAAAGGUUGGAUUUGGACAGCCUACUAAGGAUACAAGGACAAAACAGACAUAAAGUAGUGUGGUGUGCAGAUUUCAAUGCUCACAGCACAAUAUGGGGGGAUCCGAUUACAGAUUCAAAUGGAACGGUAAUUGAAGAUUUGAUGGAAGAAAGGGAUUUGGUGUGUAUGAAUGAUGGUAGAGGAACAAGGAUAAACAUAACAACAGGAACUGAGUCGGUAUUAGAUAUUACGUUAGUGUCUAAUGUCUUGGCUGGCAUCAGUAACUAGGGAGUUUGGACUGCUUCAACAGUAGGCAACGAUCACUACCCAGUUUUAUGUUCAGUGGAUGAAAGAGUUGAAAUAAGACCAGGUGGGGGAGUCCCAAAGUGGGUGUUUGGAAAAUCAGAUUGGGGUAAGUUCCAGAGGUUAAGUGAAGAAGCAUUGACAAAGAUUGACAUUUCUGGAGAUAUAGAUGAUUUAAACAGUCAGGUGACUUCAGCAAUUAUUAUGGCAGCAGAAGGAUCUAUACCCAGGAGUAAAAAUAGGAUGAAUAGAAAACUAGUGCCAUGGUGGACAGAGGAAUGUUGUCAGACUGUAAAAAAACAGAAAUAGAGCAUUCAGGCUAGUUAAAAGAACCCAUAAUAUGUAGCAUUUGAUUCAAUAUAAGAAGGCACAGGCAGUGGUGAGAAGAACUAUACAUCAAACUAAAAGGGCAAGUUGGAGGAGUUUUUGCAACAAAAUAGGAAGAACAACGCCUGUGGGAGAGGUAUGGGGAAUGAUUAAGAGGAUGGGGGGAGAUGGAAGGGAUUCGGAGUAUCCAGUAAUGAUAUCUGAGGAGGAAACAGCAGUCUUCAGCAGGAAUAAGGCUGAGAUCAUGGCCAAGUCAUUUGUAAAGAUACAUAGUUCAGAAAAUUUGUCUGAAGAAGGGAGAAAGAAGGGAGAGAACAAUGAGUCAAUACCCAGGUGCUUACCAUCACUGCUAUCGUAAGAGAGCAUCCUCACAUCAGCCAUUAUUGUCUGGUUUGGUGCAUCAUCCUCACACAAGGUUAAAAAAAACUACAACAAACUGUCAGCUAUCUUUCAGUCUAAUGGACAUGGAGAUUUCUUUCUAUUCACUGUGGCAAAGAUUUUGCAUAGUGGUCCAGAAUCAAUGAUGCAGCAACCAAAAAUGACCCCUGUAUAAAGGCGAUCAGAGCCUGGGCCCGGCCCCUCAGUCUCCAGGAUGUAGUAUGGUGGUCACUCACUGCUGGUUCCUUCUUCCAGUCAAUAAAAGCCGAUAUCUCACCUUUAUGUCUCAGAGUGAGUUAUUGAUGGUGCAUCAAAGGGAGGCUGGCAGAAGAAAGGAAAUUAUAGGCCAGUUAGUCUGACUUUAGUGGUGGGAAAGAUGUUGGAGUCUUUUAUUAAAGAUGAGUUUUUGGGGUACUUGAAGGUGCAUGAUAAAACAAUCCAAAUUCAGCAUUGUUUUCUAAAGUGGAAAUCUUGCCUAACA